UUAUGCAUGCAAUAUAGGUUUUUAAGUAGUUUGUAUUACUAUGCUUCUGCUUUGUAAUGUAGACACGUGCGUUUUCUGUAAUGUUGCUUUGAAACAAUGUGUAAUGUGAAAAGCGCUAUACAAAUACAUCUGAAUUGAAUUGAAUAGUAUAUACAAAUCUUUUAGUACAGAAUAGUUAGAAGCUGAUGCGUUAACUUCAGUAGCUGCAGAGCUGCUGGUUGCAUGUGGAGUUUGUUUGAGCUCCGCCUCUAAACCUUUAACCCCCGCAGAAACUAUCUGAACUAUUUCAACACACACACGCAGAGAGAGAGAGAGAAUGUGUGUGUGUGUGUGUCACAGAGAGAGAGAGAGAGAGAGAGAGAGAGAGAGAGAGAGAGAGAGAGAGAGAGAGAGAGAGAGAGAGUAGUAGGUAGUAGGUAGUAGGUAGUAGUAGUUAGGAGAGAGAGAGAGAGAAUGUGUGUGCGUGUGUGAUUUGAUUUCAGUGGAUCAUGGAGCAGCGCUCUGACCGCGGUGUGUCGGAGUCUCCUGGCCGCACGGACGCGCUUCUAACACGGUUACUUUUGUUCCGGAGCCCCGCUGAACGGAGUUAAAGCUGGAGGAUCGGAUCGGUACCGAUGGCUGAUCCUCUGCGGAGGACAAUUCUAGCCAAACUCAGGGGCAAGAAACCCAAAGGGAAAGACGCGAGCACCUCGAACCGGCCGAGAGAAGCAGCGGUGGAGUUCAUUUCCGGUCCGUCUGUGUGUCUGCGAGACUCCGGCGCACGUCAGGCCUCGUUCAACCACAUCACCGUCUCCAAAAAACGCCAGUGGCUCCAGCAGAGCUGCGCUCGGCCCGUCCUGCAGCCCGAGGACGUCACAGCGCCCCCUGCAGCCGAGGAGGAGCACACACACCCACAAACACACCCUCCAUCGGCCAAAAACUCAUGUCUAACAGACAAAGGUGUGUACAGUUUACACUUAUGAUGCUUUGUUCUCAUAGUAAAUGCUUUCCAGAGUUUUUGUCCACUGGAAGUUGAUCAAAAAGUUUAUUAAUAAUCAGCGUGAACUGUACAUCUGUCCCUUUUUUCUUUUUUGUCAAAUUAAAUAUGAAUACUCCUCGUAUGUGUAAACAUAUCUGGC
rnacentral:lncRNA from 1 species